UACGUAGGGUGCAAGCGUUGUCCGGAAUUAUUGGGCGUAAAGAGCUCGUAGGCGGUCUGUCGCGUCGGCUGUGAAAUCCCGAGGCUCAACCUCGGGUCUGCAGUCGAUACGGGCAAACUAGAGUAUUGCAGGGGAGACUGGAAUUCCUGGUGUAGCGGUGAAAUGCGUAGAUAUCAGGAGGAACACCGGUGGCGAAGGCGGGUCUCUGG
rnacentral:rRNA from 1 species